UGGGGGAUCGUUCAAUUGGCAGGACGACGGGUUCUGGCCCCGUUAAUGGAGGUUCGAGUCCUCCUCCCCCAG
rnacentral:tRNA from 1 species